GACGAACGCUGGCGGCGUGCCUAAUACAUGCAAGUCGAGCGCAGGAAAUCGACGGAACCCUUCGGGGGGAAGUCGAUGGAAUGAGCGGCGGACGGGUGAGUAACACGUAAAGAACCUGCCCUCAGGUCUGGGAUAACCACGAGAAAUCGGGGCUAAUACCGGAUGGGUCAUCGGACCGCAUGGUCCGAGGAUGAAAGGCGCUUCGGCGUCGCCUGGGGAUGGCUUUGCGGUGCAUUAGCUAGUUGGUGGGGUAAUGGCCCACCAAGGCGACGGUGCAUAGCCGACCUGGGGGGGUGAUCGGCCACACUGGGACUGAGACACGGCCCAGACUCCUACGGGAGGCAGCAGUAGGGAAUCUUCCACAAUGGACGAAAGUCUGAUGGAGCAACGCCGCGUGAACGAUGAAGGCCUUCGGGUCGUAAAGUUCUGUUGUAAGGGAAGAACAAGUGCCGCAGGCAAUGGCGGCACCUUGACGGUACCUUGCGAGAAAGCCACGGCUAACUACGUGCCAGCAGCCGCCGUAAAAC
rnacentral:rRNA from 1 species